GGUGGCCAUCGAUGGCCGCGGAGGGGGCAGGCUGGGGCCUGGCCCACGGAGGCCGAUGGAAGGCGGUGGCCGAAGAGCCAUGCCCCUUGUCGAGGGCAUGCUGUGGGUCUCGCGCCUGUCUGUCUCGCCGCCGCCGCGGCCGCCGUCACCACCCUGCGAGCCCAUCUGAAGUUAGACUGGCUACGUUUCAAGGGCUCAGCAGCCACAACUGAUAGCGGCUACCGCAUCGGACCAUGCAGAGCUAGAUGGGGAGGCAGGAAAGAAAUCAAGUGGAUUCCACACCAAGUGGUGAAAAGUGCUUGUGGGAUCCUAGUUCCCCAACCAGGGAACGAAUUUCAGCCCUUGGCAGUAAAAGCACUGAGUGCCGAGUCCUAACCACCAGACUUCCAAGGAAGUCCCCAGGUUAUCCUUGUUUUCUCUCUAAGCACAUGCUCUGAGGGUCCGUGAGAUCAGGAGACAGAACGAUGACUCAGCUUGGGUUCCUGCUCUUGAGCACAUCACUGCUGCAAGGGAGAAGAGGACAUGUAGACACAUAAACCCAGUUAGUGUGACGAGGGCCAGGCACAGAGCACCACCUCUCAUGAGGGCAGCGUCUGGGCCAGAGGACAGCAGGAGCAAGGGUCUACCAGCCAGAGGAUGUGGGAAGUGGGGCUUCCAGAUAGAGGGACCAGCCAGACCAGAGGCACAGCUUUUGUUCCCGAGCGUGGUUCGGGAGCAGGGAGCGGUGGGACACGCCAAGUGCAGGUUAUGAGGAAGGACGACGGUGAGAUGGGACUGGAGAGGUGUCUGUCUCCAGCUGCAAAGGGCCCUAGAGAGUCAGGCAUGGAAGGUGGGAUUUUAUCCAUCAGACCAGGAGCCGGCAGACUACAGCCCGAUUCCACCCACGCCUUUUUUUUUGUACAGCCUGUGAGCU